AUCAGCUAGUUGGUGGGGUAAUGGCCUACCAAGGCGAUGACGGCUAGCCGAUCUGAGAGGACGACCGGCCACACUGGGACUGAGACACUGCCCAGACUCCUACGGGAGGCUGCAGUCGAGAAUCUUCCGCAAUGGGCGCAAGCCUGACGGAGCGACACCGCGUACAGGAUGACGGCCUUCGGGUUGUAAACUGUUGUCACGCUAUGGGAACCGUUUGUGGUUAAUAGCCACAAGCCUGACUAAAGCGAGAGGAAGCACCGGCUAACUCUGUGCCAGCAGCCGCGGUAAGACAGAGGGUGCAAACGUUGUUCGGAAUCACUGGGCAUAAAGCGCGCGUAGGCGGUUCGCUAAGUCAGGUGUGAAAGCCCCCGGCUCAACCGGGGAAUGGCACUUGAUACUGGCGAGCUUGAGGAUGAGAUGGGUGGGCGGAACUCCAGGUGGAGCGGUGAAAUGCGUAGAUAUCUGGAGGAACACCGGUGGCGAAAGCGGCCCACUGGACCAUUGCUGACGCUGAGGCGCGAAAGCUAGGGUAGCAAACGGGAUUAGAUACCCCGGUAGUCCUAGCCAUAAACGAUGGGCACUAGGUAGGGGAGGCACCUAUGUCUUCCUCUGCCGGAGCUAAUGUAUUAAGUGCCCCGCCUGGGGAGUACGCUCGCAAGGGUAAAACUCAAAUGAAUUGACGGGG
rnacentral:rRNA from 1 species